AGUUAAAAUUGAAAAAAUAUGUUUUGAAAACAUUAAUAAGAGGUUAAAUUCCUCUAUUAACUU
rnacentral:tRNA from 1 species